AAGGAUCGAGCCUCAGUCUCUUAUGUCUCCUGCACUAGCAGGACCUUUCAAGGUGCCUGCUUUCAUCACUGACAGUCUCCCAGCCUCGUCUGCAAUGUUCUCACAGUCACAGUCCUCUGAGCUACCACGGGGUGUCUGCAGUUCACCUGCUUCAGUUCCCUGCAGGGAUGUCAGCUGCCAAGGCCUCUGACGCUGCCGCAUGGCCUUUGAAGAUUCUGAGGACGCUGAGGUGCUGAUGCAGGCUUUGUCUCCAACUCGUGAUGCACGCGCUAGCACCAGCAUCAUUGGCUUAGCAGGUGCCCCCCUUUGUUCUUGUAGACUUGUUAAUAAAGCUUUUCCUUCAAUACCCACCAA